GCUGAGCAUGGUGGAGUAUACCUGUAAUCCCAGUGGCUCAGGAGGCUGAGGCAGGAGGUUUGCAAGUUCCAGGCCAGCCUCAACAAUUUAGGCCCUAAGCAACUUAGUGAGACCCUGUCUCAA
rnacentral:sRNA from 1 species